CCUACGGGAGGCAGCAGUGAGGAAUAUUGGUCAAUGGGCGCAAGCCUGAACCAGCCAAGUAGCGUGAAGGAUGACUGCCCUACGGGUCGUAAACUUCUUUUGUCAAGGAAUAAAGUGCGGCACGUGUGCCUUUUUGUAUGUACUUUAUGAAUAAGGAUCGGCUAACUCCGUUCCAGCAGCCGCGGUAAUACGGGGGAUCCGGGCGUUAUCCGGAUUUCUUGGGUUUAAAGGGAGCGUAGAUGGGUUGUUAAGUCAGUUGUGAAAGUUUGCGGCUCAACCGUAAAAUUGCCGUUGAUACUGGGAGUCUGGAGUACAGUAGAGGUAGGCGGAAUGCGUGGUGUAGCGGUGAAAUGCUUAGAUAUCACGAAGAACUCCGAUUGCGAAGGCAGCUUACUAAAGUGCAACUGACAUUGAUGCUCGAAAGUGUGGGUAUCAAACAGGAUUAGAUACCCUAGUAGUC
rnacentral:rRNA from 1 species